rnacentral:misc_RNA from 1 species
GAUGAGAACGUAGCGAAAUGCGAUAAGUAAUGUGAAUUGCAGAAUUCAGUGAAUCAUCGAAUCUUUGAACGCACAUUGCGCCCCUUGGUAUUCCGGGGGGCAUGCCUGUUCGAGCGUCAUUAUAACCCCUCAAGCUCAGCUUGGUGUUGGGGCCUGCCGACUGGCAGCCCUUAAAAUCAGUGGCGGCGCCAUCUGGCUCUAAGCGUAGUAAUUUCUCUCGCUAUAGAGUCCCGGUGGAUGCUUGCCAGCAACCCCCAACUUUCUAUGGUUGACCUCGGAUCAGGUAGGGAUACCCGCUGAACUUAAGCAUAUCAAUAAGCGGAGGA